rnacentral:rRNA from 1 species
GAUGAAUGCUGGCGGCGUGCCUAAUACAUGCAAGUCGAGCGAACGGACGAGAAGCUUGCUUCUCUGAUGUUAGCGGCGGACGGGUGAGUAACACGUGGAUAACCUACCUAUAAGACUGGGAUAACUUCGGGAAACCGGAGCUAAUACCGGAUGAUAUUUUGAACCGCAUGGUUCAAAAGUGAAAGACGGUCUUGCUGUCACUUAUAGAUGGAUCCGCGCUGCAUUAGCUAGUUGGUAAGGUAACGGCUUACCAAGGCAACGAUGCAUAGCCGACCUGAGAGGGUGAUCGGCCACACUGGAACUGAGACACGGUCCAGACUCCUACGGGAGGCAGCAGUAGGGAAUCUUCCGCAAUGGGCGAAAGCCUGACGGAGCAACGCCGCGUGAGUGAUGAAGGUCUUCGGAUCGUAAAACUCUGUUAUUAGGGAAGAACAUAUGUGUAAGUAACUGUGCACAUCUUGACGGUACCUAAUCAGAAGGCCACGGCUAACUACGUG